CCUACGGGUGGCAGCAGUAGGGAAUUUUGCGCAAUGGGCGAAAGCCUGACGCAGCAACGCCGCGUGAUCGAGACGCCCUUCGGGGUGUAAAGAUCUGUCUGUGGGGACGAAAAUUGACGGUACCCACAGAGGAAGCACCGGCUCACUCCGGGCCAGCAGCCGCGGUAAUACGGGGGCUGCAAGCGUUGUCCGGAAUCAUUGGGCGUAAAGAGUGCGUAGGCGGCACGUAAAGUCUGGUGUUAAAGGCAGAGGCUCAACUUCGGAACGGCACUGGAUACUUGCGAGCUAGAAAGCGGUAGAGGUAAAGGGAAUUCCUGGUGUAGCGGUGAAAUGCUUAGAGAUCAGAAGGAACAUCGGUUGCGUAAGCGCUUUACUGGGCCGUAAUUGACGCUGAGGAACGAAAGCCAGGGGAGCAAACGGGAUUAGAUACCCCAGUAGUC
rnacentral:rRNA from 1 species